GAACUGAAGAGUUUGAUCAUGGCUCAGAUUGAACGCUGGCGGCAGGCCUAACACAUGCAAGUCGAGCGGUAGAGAGGUGCUUGCACCUCUUGAGAGCGGCGGACGGGUGAGUAAUGCCUAGGAAUCUGCCUGGUAGUGGGGGAUAACGCUCGGAAACGGACGCUAAUACCGCAUACGUCCUACGGGAGAAAGCAGGGGACCUUCGGGCCUUGCGCUAUCAGAUGAGCCUAGGUCGGAUUAGCUAGUUGGUGAGGUAAUGGCUCACCAAGGCGACGAUCCGUAACUGGUCUGAGAGGAUGAUCAGUCACACUGGAACUGAGACACGGUCCAGACUCCUACGGGAGGCAGCAGUGGGGAAUAUUGGACAAUGGGCGAAAGCCUGAUCCAGCCAUGCCGCGUGUGUGAAGAAGGUCUUCGGAUUGUAAAGCACUUUAAGUUGGGAGGAAGGGCAUUAACCUAAUACGUUAGUGUUUUGACGUUACCGACAGAAUAAGCACCGGCUAACUCUGUGCCAGCAGCCGCGGUAAUACAGAGGGUGCAAGCGUUAAUCGGAAUUACUGGGCGUAAAGCGCGCGUAGGUGGUUCGUUAAGUUGGAUGUGAAAUCCCCGGGCUCAACCUGGGAACUGCAUUCAAAACUGUCGAGCUAGAGUAUGGUAGAGGGUGGUGGAAUUUCCUGUGUAGCGGUGAAAUGCGUAGAUAUAGGAAGGAACACCAGUGGCGAAGGCGACCACCUGGACUGAUACUGACACUGAGGUGCGAAAGCGUGGGGAGCAAACAGGAUUAGAUACCCUGGUAGUCCACGC
rnacentral:rRNA from 1 species